rnacentral:lncRNA from 1 species
UUUGUAUACUGUUAGGCAAAGAUAGUAAUCCCUGCAUCUGUUGCAUUUAUAAAAUAUUAUAAUCAUAAUGAGUUUCUAUUGUGACCAAUCAUUUUGAGACCUGAAUCUUCUUUCAUGAUUCUUAAUAAUUCUCUUAUUUGUGGAAGUUAACAUGUGAGAUUUGCUUUGAAGUGUAUCUAUGUGAUAAUAUGGGUUCUGCCGCUUGCAUUCAUCCUUUUGGGUAACUUGCUGACAUGGUUCGAAUAUUUGGUGAUUACCAUCUAGCAGAAAACUAUGCACAGCUAAAAGAUCUUUCCUAAUUUGAAUAUGAAGCGUCCUCAUGUCGGCUCAGUAGGAUCAAGCCAUAGCGCCAAGAAGGCGCAUGACAAGUGAAAAAUCGCCGCGAUGUAAACACAAGUCGACAUACUUUUGUACUUACCCACGAUUUAUUUUGUAAGUUUUCUCUUUCGACUGCUAUAUCGGAUCAAAAGUCGGGUCGUCCCGCCGCGAAGCGCGGUGUCACCC